UUCUUUACUGUGAAAGACCCCCAGAGUGGGGAGACCCUCACUCAAGUCUCGGGAUGACGCAACCCCCCAAGAACUCACACAAGACC
rnacentral:pre_miRNA from 14 species